AGAUAAUGGAGAGAGAGAAGAGAACAGCAGUAGCCGUUGCCAGAAAUAUUGAGCAAGGCGGAUUUAUUAGAUGAAGAUAUCAAAAUACUUUCCAUUGAGGAAACAGGUUGGAGGUGGGAGGCUGUAACCAUGCUUGAUUUUGUACCACCCUAACCUUUGCUUAUGAUGCCACUGAAAGGUAAACAUACCAUUCUGACAUGCAUGAAAAUGAAACGACAAAUUGAUACACGCAGUGCUUGGAAUGGAUGGAGUCCUUCUAAUGAGUGAUUACCUGUGGUAUAACUAUAUUGAUUGUGUUUGUACAUGUCAAAUGGGGCUGGCGAGGAUGAACUUGAAGAAAUCAAUCUUGGAACCUGCUAGGACAGCAGCCUCCUGGUUUCACAGUACUAAAUCAUGACUUCAAAAUUUUGAAGUAAAAGAAAACUGCAAAA
ensembl:lncRNA novel transcript